rnacentral:rRNA from 14 species
UGAGGUAGAGUGUCAGAUGUAUGCCGAUGGGGGUAGAGCACUGGAUGGGCUAGGGCUGCGCGAGCGGUACCAAACCUAACCAAACUCCGAAUACCAUCGAGUCUUGUCUGGCAGACAGACGGCGGGUGCUAAGGUCCGUCGUCAAAAGGGAAACAGCCCUAACCUACAGCUAAGGUCCCCAAGUCAUAUCUAAGUGGGAAAGCAUGUGGGAAUCCCAAAACAACCAGGAGGUUGGCUU